GUGAGGAAUAUUGGUCAAUGGGCGCAAGCCUGAACCAGCCAUGCCGCGUGCAGGAAGACGGUCCUAUGGAUUGUAAACUGCUUUUAUUGGGGAAUAAACCUUUCUACGUGUAGGAAGCUGAAGGUACCCAAAGAAUAAGCACCGGCUAACUCCGUGCCAGCAGCCGCGGUAAUACGGAGGGUGCAAGCGUUAUCCGGAAUCAUUGGGUUUAAAGGGUCCGCAGGCGGGAUUGUAAGUCAGUGGUGAAAUCCGGCAGCUCAACUGUCGCACUGCCAUUGAUACUGCAGUCCUUGAAUUUGAUGGGAGUGGGCGGAAUAUGUCAUGUAGCGGUGAAAUGCUUAGAUAUGACAUAGAACACCGAUAGCGAAGGCAGCUCACUAUGUCUGAAUUGACGCUCAUGGACGAAAGCGCGGGUAGCAAACAGGAUUAGAAACCCCAGUAGUCC
rnacentral:rRNA from 1 species